UGGGGAAUUUUGGACAAUGGGCGAAAGCCUGAUCCAGCAAUGCCGCGUGUGGGAAGAAGGCCUUCGGGUUGUAAACCACUUUUGUACGGAACGAAACGGUUCGCUUUAAUACAGUGGGCUAAUGACGGUACCGUAAGAAUAAGCACCGGCUAACUACGUGCCAGCAGCCGCGGUAAUACGUAGGGUGCGAGCGUUAAUCGGAAUUACUGGGCGUAAAGAGCUCGUAGGCGGUUAGACACGUAGGAUGUG
rnacentral:rRNA from 1 species